GGCUGGGUAGCUCAGUGGAUUGAGAGCCAAGCCUAGAGGUGGGAGGUCACUAGGUUCGAAUCCAGCCUCAGCCA
rnacentral:tRNA from 1 species